UGAGUGGUGUGUCCAGCAGUGUGGUGCAGUACACAGUGUUUGAAAUGCAGCUGUCCUUUACUGUGCUGGAUACAGAGGCCAGACAUUUGUGGGCAAACUGCUGGCAAAGACUGCUGAGGGACACUUUGAGGUUAUCCAGAGGUAUGCCAAGUAAGAAACAGAAGAGAAUGUUACAAGGAGGAGGCAGCAGGCACCUGCCAAAAUGAUAAUUACUCCCAGUGAGGUCUAAAGCACUGGAUGAUGGGGUGCUGUGAACUUAUCAUUAAACGCAGCUGUGACCUCAAUGAAUGUUUCCCUUUGUGUCUCACAAGAAAAGGGGACAGUCACAGCCUGCUCUCUAAAGACAACUCUCUUCCUUCACACAAAACUACAAGCAUCUAAUUACACACACACCCUUCACUCAAUUAUCAUGGAGACUCCUACACCAGCCUCAUAGAGUCACCAUCGGGGGAGGGGACAACAAAUGUCCCCAGGUCAGACUGCUCUUCUGGUAUCGACCCUAAGUGUCUUGACACCGCUCAACUUUUUCUUCAUUAACUCCUGCAACAUUUGCAGUCUUGGAUCCAAUUUUCAGUCUGUAAAAACACCAUCUCUCCUCUACUAAACCUAAUUUUCUUUUCCUCACUGAAACACAGGUGUCUAAGGCAACUGACAUUAGCCCCAUUUUUGUUCUCCUACUUUCUCUAUCCUCAUUUUCAAUCCAAAGCUGGAUGUUGCAUUUAUGUGCACAACAACUUAACCUGCUCUCUUGCCCAUGCUCUUGAAUCUUCCGAGUUUUCCACCAUCUGGCUACGAUUACAGUCACUCUCAAACUAAAUGUAUCUGUGCUGUAUACCUCUCACCUAACUCCUCUGACUUUAAAAAAUUCUUUGACUUCUUAACUUCCAAAGUGGAGCACAUUCUGACCCUCUUCCCUUUUGCAGAGAUCUCCAUUCUUGGAGACUUCAAUGUUCACCACCAGCUUUGGCUUUCCUCUCCCUUCACUGACCAUCCUGGUGAACCAGCCUUCAACUUUGCUAUCCUCCACAACCUAGAGCAAUUGGUGCAACACCCUACUUGUAUUCCUGACCAUCUUGGAGAUAUGCCCAACAUUAUUAACCUUUUCAUAACCUCUAAUCCUUCUGCUUAUGCUGUCACCCUCUCUUCUCUGUUGGGCUCAUCCAGUCACAAUCUCAUAUCUUUAUCUUGUCCUAUCACUCCAAUCCUUCCUCAGCAUCCCCAUAAGCAGAAGUGCCUCUAGGAUUUUGCCUCUGCUAGCUGCAGGGACCCAAGGAGGUAUUUUGCUGAUUUUCCUUGGAAUGACUACUGCUUCCAUGUCAGAGACCUGUCUGUGUGCAGAGUACAUAACAGAGGUAGUAGAGUCUGACAUGGAGGUGUACAUUCCUCACUCUUUACCUUCCAAAUCUUGGUUUAACACAGCUUGUUCUCUUGCUAUACAUGAUAGAGAGGUGGCCUACAAAAGGUACUUAAGCCUUCCAUCACCAGAAUAUCAUGGGCUUUAUAUUUUUGCCCGGAACCAUGCCAAGUCUGUUCUCCAACUAGCCAAAAACUCCUUUAUUAAUGGAAAGUGUCAAAAUCUUUCAAGAUCUAACUCCCCUUGUAACUUCUGGCACCAAGCCAAAAACAUCUCCAAUAACUUUGCUUCUCCUUCUUUUCCUCCUUUAUAUCAACCGGAUAGUACCACUGCUAUCACAUCUAUCUCUAAACCUGAACUCUUUGCUCAAACCUUUGCUAAAAACUCUACCUUGGACAAUUCAGGGCUUGUUCCUCCCUCACCUCCACCCUCUGACUACUUCAUGCUACCUAUUAAAAUUCUUCACAGUCAUGUUUUCAUGCCCUCCCUGGCCUAAACCCUCGGAAGGCUUAUGGACCUGAUGGGGUGCCUCAUAUUGUUCUCUGAAACUGUGCCUCUAUGCUUGCACCUUGCCUAGUCAAACUCUUUCAACUCUGUCAGCAUCUACCAUUCCUUCUUGCUGGAAGUUUGCCUACUUUCAGCCUGUUCCUAAAAAGGGUGACUUCAAAUCCCUCAAACUGCCAUCCUAUUGUUUUAAUUUCCUGCCUAUCUAAAGUUUUUUAAUCAAUCAUCAACAAGAAGAUUCUUAAACAUCUAUCACUUCACAACCUUCUAUCUGAUCACCAGUAUGGGUUCCAUCAAGGCCACUCUACUGGUGAUCUUUUGGCUUUCCUUACUGAGUCUUAGUCAUCCUCUUAUAAAGAUUUUGGUGAGACUUUUGCUGUUGCUUUGGACAUAUUAAAAGUUUUUGAUAGAGUUUGGCACAAAGCUUUGAUUUCCAAACUACUCUCCUGCGCCUUCUAUCCUUUUCUCUGUAACUUCAUCUUAAGUUUCCAUUCUGACCGUUCUAUUGCUGUUGUGGUAGAUGAUCACUAGUCUUCCUUUAAAUCUAUUAACUGUGGUGUUCCUCAGGGUUCUGUCCUAUCACCCACUCUCUUCUUAUUAUUCUCCAGUGACCUAAACCAAACUUCUUGUCUUAUCCACUCCUACACUGAUGAUACCACCCUGCACUUUUCUACGUCUUUUGUAGAAGUCCAACCCUUCAGGAAGUAAAGAGUUCAUGCAGGGAAGCCACAGAAGACCUGACUUCUGAUCUCUCUAAAAUUUCUGAUUGGGGCAGAGCAAACUUAGUAUUAUUCAAUGCCUCAAAAACUCAAUUCCUCCACCUAUCAACUUGACACAACCUUCCAGAUAACUAUCCCAUCUUCAGUGACACUUAACUGUCCCCCUUUCUACACUGAACAUCCUUGGUCUGUCCUUUUCUUAUAAUCUAAACUGGAAAUUUCACAUCACAUCCCUAGCUAAAACAGCUCUUAUGAAAUUAGAUGUUCUGAGACAUCUUCACCAGUUUUUCUCAUCCCCCCCAACUGCUAACUCUGUACAGGGGCCUUAUCUGUCCAUGUAUGCUUUACAUGUCUGGGGGGGUUCCACUUGUACUGCUCAUCUAGACAUUAUGGAAUCAAAAGCUUUUUGUCUCAUCAGCUCCUCUCCUCUAACUGACUGUCUUCAGCCGGUUUCUCAUCACUGCAAUGUUGCAUCUCUUGCUAUCAUCUACCGCUGUUUUCAUGCUAACUGCUCUUCUAAUCUUGCUAACUGCAUGUCUCCCCUCCUCUGACGGCCUCGCUGCACAAGACUUUCUUCUUUCUUUCACCCCCUAUUAUGUUCAUCUCUCUAAUGCAAGAGUUAACCAGUAUUCUCAAUCAUUCAUUCCUUUCUCUGGUAAACUCUGGAACUCCCUGCCUGCUUCUGUCUUUCCACCUUCCUAUGACUGGAAUUCCUUCAAGAAGGAGGUUUCAAGACACUUAUCCUUCAAUUUUUGACUGCUGCUUUGGACCCUUUUAUGGGACUGGCAUCUCAGUGGGUCUUUUUAUUUUUUGGUUGGGGGAGGGGGAGGGUUGUUGCCCUUGGCCAGUGUCCCUCCUACUUGAAAAAAUAAAUAAAUAAAAAUAUCACCACCCAUAUCUUCCCAACACAAAUACUGACAACAGACCCUGUGUCAGGCUGUAUGUACCAGAUGAGGCCGUGUCAAUGCUCACCUUUGAGAACGUCAUAUUUGAGGCGCCUGACGUGAGACAGCAACUCAUAGCCAAGGUUGCUGUCGUCUCCGCUAGCUGGACUGGUGGUGUAUCCCUCACAUCUGGUCAUCAAGGAGUACCCCAUGGUCAAGUCCUUGCACACCGAUCCGUUCUGAUGGAAGCAGUUGGAGGGUGUGGAGGAUGGGGAUCAAAAGAUAUUGAUUGAGAUACUGGGGAGGG